AAAUUGAAGAGUUUGAUCAUGGCUCAGAUUGAACGCUGGCGGCAGGCCUAACACAUGCAAGUCGAACGGUAACAGGAAGCGCUUGCUGCUUCGCUGACGAGUGGCGGACGGGUGAGUAAUGUCUGGGAAACUGCCUGAUGGAGGGGGAUAACUACUGGAAACGGUAGCUAAUACCGCAUAACGUCGCAAGACCAAAGAGGGGGACCUUCGGGCCUCUUGCCAUCGGAUGUGCCCAGA
rnacentral:rRNA from 1 species